UCGAAAGAUUCUCAUGACUGUUGUAUCGCGACGGUUGGAAGAAAGCUAAUUUAAAUUCACCUUGCUUCACUAAUUAUGCAUUAUGUAUGAGAUAUCAGGAGUUGUUAUGAAGAUUUAUGAUUAAAGAAGAGGUUUGUUGACAAGAUGAUUACUCUCUUCCUCAUCGCAUGAGCUAGCUGUGAUAGAGAAACAAUGGAUUAUUUGGUACUUUUACUACGGAUGACUGACUAGGCCUAUAUUAUAAAGAAUUUUGGUCUGGGUUCUGAUGCACUACUGGUAUUCAACUUCAUGGUAUUAUGUCAACCCAACACACAACAGUCUGUUGUAGCUAUGGUGAAAAUUGCAUUUUACAGCUUCAGGAAUUUGAGCUGUUCAUUAAAUUUGGUGCAGUACUGGAGUUGGCAAGCCUAAUGUCAGAAUGUUUUUGCAGACCAAAGAGAUGAACAAAGUCCACUGGCAUACAGUCACUGAAAAAAAUAUUCUGUGCAGUAAUGUUUCUAUGUUCAACAAACAUCCUAUUGACUUCUGGAUAUACAGCAGUUGUAUUCAGUUGCUUCCUUUAUGAGUCACUGCCCAAAGAUUAUUCAAGUAGUAUGUGAUGACCAUCUACAAACAAAAAGCAAAUACAUGAUGUAAUGAAUAUAUUGUAAAAUCAUGAAUGUAUACUGGAAAGGAUGGUUUUUAUGAAUUUAGUUCAAAUCUAUAUAUAUUUUGUAUGUCCGGAAAAAGUCCAAUGUGAGAUCAUAAUUAUACACGAUUUAAAUAUUUUGUAUGGAGUUGAUUUUUUGCUAAUAAAUGGUCAGAAGGUAUUUUAUUUGGGCAUUGUUUUUUUCUGUAUCAAUAUAUUAUCUUUGUAAAUAAAAUUAUUUAAUUUUAAUUUAAACUUUUAUCAUUCACUAGCAACAAAAUACUUCUCCACUUGCAGAAUUAGGAUGUAAGUGUUACAUAAAGUUUCACUCUAGAAUUGAAAAAAAAUU